CCCUCCUAUGCAGAGCACGCUCUGUUCUCAUGACACGGUACAGAUACAAGUUUUCUAUUGCUGUGCAACAAAUCACCACAAGUUUAGCAGCUUCAAACAAUACCCAUUUAUUAGCUCCUAGUUCUGCAAGUCAGAAGCCUGGGCAUGGUAUGACUGGGUUCUCUGCUCAGGUGUGACAAAUCAGAGGCAAACUGUCUUUCCAACCAGGUUUGGGUUGCCUGUGACUUCUUCAUCUGAAGCCAACAGCUGUGAAUUUGCCUUGGAGCACAAGUCGGAUGGUUCUUCAAGCUUGCACUUUAGAGAAAUGCAACCUGAGAAAGCUUUUAAUCCACCUUUUUGUUCAGCCCAGAGCCUUCUCUGCAGAGGUUAUGUUGGACUGGCUGCUCCUUUGGGGAGACCUGGAGCCCUUUCCGGGAAGCAGUCUGCUUCUCUGAGCCGUGGGCUGGAACCUGCAGUGACAUAAAACCACAAGAACAUCAAGGCCAGGGUGCAGUCUCUGGGGUUGGCCAUCAUCACCCCUCAAAUGCCCUGUUGCUGGCCCUUCCUACUCCUCUUUGCCCUA
rnacentral:lncRNA from 1 species